rnacentral:lncRNA from 1 species
GGAUUAAUUUGUCCACUCUGCCUACAUGGAUUAACGCAAUCUCUUAGGAAAAUACUAAUUACAGCCAUUAAAACCCAUUUUAGCUAGUGUAUGGAAAUGUCAUUCUCAAUUAGGCAGAUAUUUUUCUGAAGUUGAAACCAAAUAUUCUUUUGUAGAGUUGUAUAAAUGUAAGACGUAACUCCAGUGUUCCAAUAGCUAUUGCUUUUGCAUAAACUUUGUAUCGAUAUCAGAUCAAGAACACUAAUGUAGCCUAAAUGACAUUAAAAUGAAACCUUAAUUUCCCUACUAAUAGAUGUGGUGGAAACGAGACACAGACAGAAAGAUUUGGUGAAGUUCACUGCUUCACAAGUGAAAUUUAGACUGAUUCAUUUAAUAGAUUCCUGAAGGUGUGAGGAUGCCUGCCUUUAGUACAUAUUUUUGUAAUUUAACACUAUCCAUAUUUUCCAGGUAACUUUGUGUCAACCAAAGGAAAAUAUGGAUCUGUUGCAGGAGAGGAUAUGAAAUACUGUAGAACCUUCAGGACUUCUUGACUGAAUAUUAUGAUAUAUGGAAAGAGUUAUGGAUAAAGAGUAUAAAUCUCAUUUGGGCAUCUCAGGAGUUUGGAACAGGAAGCUGAUGCCAAGUGGCAGACAGGAGCUGCAGUGUAUCCUCAGCACCUUGAGGGUGCUCUGAUCCUACCAAGGGCAGCAGAGUAACAUCAUCUGAGGAAACAGAUGCUGGUUGGUUAAAAAUCAACUGUCCUCUGUUAUGUGAAUAUUUGGUCAACAGGAAGAAUAGAUUGGGCACCUCAGGAAGCAAGAAAGGGUGAAUUUAAUGGCUACGGGGAUCUAUUUCCUUCAUUCAAGCAUUCAUCUAUAUCAGAAUGAACCUGUAAAUGUUUGUAAUGAGGACAUACACCACUGUCUUCCUGGAAAUAAGCAGUUAACAGACUUCAGAGGAAAUGAUAAAGCAUUAACAGACUUUGGAAGGGAGGCUUUACUUUGAAGAAAUCACCCAUCCACCUUUUGCUUUUUUAGGGAAGACAGAAACUGUCAAUCAUAGGAUCCAGAAGGGAACUGUAAGAUUGAGUACAAUGUCAGAGAAAAGGGAUGGGUGCUGUGAUGAUUUUGUGCAAUAAUUUUAACUGCAUUAUUACAAGGCUUUUUGUAUUAAUUUGUGAUUUGACUUAUCUGGUUAUUCAAAAUGGGCUGGACUGGUAAUAAAUUAAUAGCUUCUUAUGUGUGAUAUAUUCUA